rnacentral:rRNA from 3 species
CGGCGUAAAGUGUGGCUAAGAGAUUAUUUCUCCUAUAUAGGGCCGAACAGACUCAAAGCAGUUAUACGCACCCGAGACUAUGAAGUUCAAACACGAAAGUAGCCCUAUUUUACUUCUGACCCCACGAAAACUAUAAAACAAACUGAGAUUAGAUACCUCACUAUGUAUAGUCGUAAACAUUGAUGACACAACUCACAAGUCAUCCGCCUGGGUACUACGAGCAUUAGCUUAAAACCCAAAGGACUUGGCGGUGCUUUAGACCCCCCUAGAGGAGCCUGUUCUAGAACUGAUAACCCUCGUUUAACCUCACCACCCCUUGCUCAAUCCGUUUAUAUACCACCGUCGUCAGCUUACCCUGUGAAGGAAGAAAAGUAAGCAUAAAUGGCAAAGCCAAAAACGUCAGGUCGAGGUGUAGCGAAUGAGGUGGGAAGAAAUGGGCUACAUUCUUUCAUUGAAAGAAUACGAAUAAUACUUUGAAAAAAGUAUCUGAAGGAGGAUUUAGUAGUAAAGAGGGAAUAGAGUGCCUUCUUGAAACUGGCCCUAAAGCGCGUACACACCGCCCGUCACUCUCCCCAAAUCAAACUUAAAUAUUACCUAAAAUAUUCUAUAUAUCAAGGGGAGGCAAGUCGUAACAUGGUAAGCAUACCGGA